rnacentral:rRNA from 1 species
UACGGAGGGUGCGAGCGUUGUCCGGAAUCACUGGGCGUAAAGGGCGCGUAGGCGGCUCAAGCAGCGUGUGGUGAAAGCUCGGGGCUCAACCCCGAGUCGGCCGUGCGAACUCUUGGGCUGGAGUGCUGUAGAGGCGGGCGGAAUUCCGGGUGUAGCGGUGGAAUGCGUAGAGAUCCGGAAGAACACCGGUGGCGAAGGCGGCCCGCUGGGGCAGUGACGUGACGC